GAUGAACGCUGGCGGCGUGCCUAAUACAUGCAAGUCGAGCGAACGGACGAGAAGCUUGCUUCUCUGAUGUUAGCGGCGGACGGGUGAGUAACGCGUGGAUAACCUACCUAUAAGACUGGGAUAACUUCGGGAAACCGGAGCUAAUACCGGAUGAUAUUUUGAACCGCAUGGUUCAAAAGUGAAAGACGGUCUUGCUGUCACUUAUAGAUGGAUCCGCGCUGCAUUAGCUAGUUGGUAAGGUAACGGCUUACCAAGGCAACGAUGCAUAGCCGACCUGAGAGGGUGAUCGGCCACACUGGAACUGAGACACGGUCCAGACUCCUACGGGAGGCAGCAGUAGGGAAUCUUCCGCAAUGGGCGAAAGCCUGACGGAGCAACGCCGCGUGAGUGAUGAAGGUCUUCGGAUCGUAAAACUCUGUUAUUAGGGAAGAACAUAUGUGUAAGUAACUGUGCACAUCUUGACGGUACCUAAUCAGAAAGCCACGGCUAACUACGUG
rnacentral:rRNA from 1 species